rnacentral:tRNA from 1 species
GCCUUCGUGGUGUAGUGGUCAGCACGCUUGACGCGUAUUCGAGAGGUCCGUGGUUCGAGUCCCGGCAAGGGCA